GUCAACUACCCCGCCCUGAAGGGCGGAGCUUUGGGGAACCGAAGCUAGGUUGACCAGGGGGCCGGAGCGAUCCGGCAGACGUUGGUAACAGGUCGUUCAGACGCACCGGCGAAUAAUGUUUCCUCAGUUCGCCGCUCUGCAAGGUGAGAAUCAUGCUGGGCAAAGGGAAAGGCCCGAAGGUUCUCACCGCACCCGCAAGGGUGGAGCCGGUUACCAACAACCCCGAGGGGAGAUGGGC
rfam:Acidithiobacillus caldus SM-1, complete genome.